ensembl:lncRNA
GAUUCACCAUUCUAUCUGCUAAUAUUAAGACAAAAGAAACAAAGACCAGGGUCCUUCAUUUUGCUGAGGUUGCUCAAUGUUCAAACUCCUAAGACUGACGAUUGGAGGGUAAAGAAUAAGUGUCCGUUUAACAUCACUCUUUUAUUCAAAAGGGAAGAAAAAAACAACAACUUUAAAAGAGGUUUUAUGUUAAUGUCAAGCUUAAUUGGCAUUAGAAAAAAUUGCUUUGGCAUAUGGAGGGGCUCCAAGAUUAGCCAGAAGAGAAAGAGCAAGAUAAAGCCUUCAAAAGGCCUAUUUCAGAGGAAUUAUAGCGUCCUUUGAACAUCAUCCAAGUUUUAAAUACAUUAAAAGCCUGUUGGCAUACAUGUAAAUUAAGCAGUACCAAAGCGUUCCAAAGAAUUCACGGUGAAUCAGACCAAGGGUGUGAGGAUAAAAUGCAGGGCAAACGUGUCCCAGAGGGAGACGGGGAGGAAUCCUGGCAUCUCCCACAAGCUCCUCUGCUCGCCCCUUUCUUCUCCGUGUCCAUUCUGCUGUGGGCCAAGUGGCUUAACUUAGAUGAAAAGAACCACGGCGAGGAGCUCCCUUGGCAGCGGAGCCCUCGCGCUGUCCAAAGUGCCAGUGAUGGAGCAUUGUGUACAGCACAUACAAAAGACUGUUUAGCACCACUAAGCAGGGCACCGGGGAUUUGUCUUAUUCCUUUGGCCGCCUGGCAAAGCACUGGCACAGCUGGGUCGGGGAAGGCUCGGGUGCAGGAAUGUCUGUUUUUCACUGUCCUGAACAUCGCGUAUGGUGAACAGAUAGCAGAGAGCGUCCCGUGUGCGUUCUCCUCAGAUUCCUUACCAUCAUGUGGGCGUGAUGGAUCAAAGUGACAGUGACAUAUGGAGCAAUUCAUGCCAGACCUCAGGUUACAAUAUAUCCUUACAGCGACACACUUUUCCUUUCUGAUUUGUAUAUAAUAAAGCAGUGCAAUGCAACUGGUUAUUUCAUUUAGAUUCAAGACAUACAGCAAAAGAGGAGGAGGAUUUAGACAAUGGAUUACAAUCUUGUGACGUAAACGUAUGACAACAUGAGAGCACAUGAGCUCAAACAGGUAAAACUAUAUAAAGUCAGCCUUAUUGGACUUGGAAUGACCUUUUUGAUUAAGUUAAAUAUUUACAGAUUACGUGAACAGAAAAGAACAAAUACAAACCGUUCCUAAAGAUUGCUGGAUAAUGAGGUUCCCAAAGGCUCAAUCCUGGGCCCUCUGGUAUUUGUUAUCUAUAUCAGUGUUAAUGUUACAAAUUGCACCCUAAAUAGAAAUAUUUCUUCUUUCUGUGUUGCACAAAUCACACCUGGUUAUUUCUGACUGCUAACACUGAUCACAUAUCAUUUAUACAGAAUAAUAGUAGGUGUCAAUGUCUCCAUAUCUGCCUAUGUUCUCAUUAUGUUUAGUUGUUGUUGUUGUUGGUAUAUUGAAACCAGUAGUCUCCAACAGAGAUGUCAUCAUGAUCCCACCGGCGUGCUAAUUUCGACACGAUAGCAGCAAAUAGGCAAGUAGGUGUGAGUAAAGAAGGAAAACACAGGUGAUGUAAUGCUUCUACGGCUUGCAGUACAUUUGCAAGUACAGUGACGUGCAUGUGUAUUUAUAGUUUACGUUACAUUCAACAAUGUUUUUACGGAUGUUUGUCAUAAGCUUUUUUAUUCCCACAAUGAAUGAGACAAUAUUGCAUUACAAGAAGUCUGGUUCAAAUUGACAUUAUAAUUUAGCGUAUCGAAAGGUAAAAAGAGCCACCUUAGAAAGUAUGAUGUAUAGUUGUGACAUUAUAAAUAUAUUAAUGAGAAUAAUUCAUAGCAAUGUUUGGUGGCCAUACAGUGUUUAUAACUCAAAAUGUUUUGGCUAUUACAGAGAUACAACAUUAAGAAGUUGAAGGUGUUACCAGAAUGGAUACUAACAUAACCAAAGAUCAGACGGAACCAUGAAACAAAUGUCAGAUCUGACCUCGAACUAAAAACUGAAUUCUGUUGUUCUUGGACAAUGAGAGACUGAAUAUCUGUACUUGAGAUCCAGCCAUACUCGAUCAACAAGUCAUCACGUCGCCAGGAGGAUUUACAUCUCAAGACAAAUAGUGACAUCAAAGCUCGGAAUCCUCAAGAGGCCGAAGCACUUCAUUUAAAGUUAAGAAGAUUUAGAUCAAAAGGUUAGAGAGAGAGAAACACACACACACACACACACACUCAAAGGACGACCCUCUGGAGGAAAAAAAGAAAUCACGUCCUUCACAGUGCUAAGCUCUACAAGUUCACUGCCACGGCAGGACACAGUCUGUUCCUUCACAGCCUCAGAGAGAUGAAAGGGAAGAUUGUCCGCUCGCUUUGAUUCAGACUCGGCCAAACGAAGUCCAAAGAAUUCCUGGCAAAGUUUGUUUUCUGAAAUCUCAAAGUUCUUCAGUAAACUCCCUCUCCCCACACCAGCCCGCCCAUCCUCUCUCCUCUCAUCACUCUAUUCAAAGCGAGGGAGCAUUUGUACAGUAUCGAUUGUCAAUUAGUUGUAUUUAAUUAUUGACUUGUUUCCCAGACCUCCUCGAGUAGUCUGCAAACUGUAAACACUUGGUGGAGAUUUGACAAAGAAUGUGAAAUGAAAAGCAUGAAGCAGCCCGAGAGAUCCUUCGUGUGAUUUGUUUAGAUGAAAAAUAUGGGAUGCAGUUAGGGAGCUUCUUUGUGACUAAAAUUCCUUAAUAAAUUGUAUUAGUAGGGACCAAAUCAGAAUAAAGGUCAGCAUUAAUGAACGGAAUGGUUUCAAUUCAAUUCAUUUUAUUACAAAAAAUGAAAAAACCCUUCCAUGAGGAAGAAAGGGAAGAAACCUUUGGGAGAACAUCUCCAUGUGUACAGAAUUAACAAUGUGAAAGAUGUAAAAUACAGUACAGAGGUCACCGAAUUUAGAUGAACAUCCAGAUUCUAAUUGCAGGCACCAGGUAUGAAUGGGGUCAAAAAGUUUUAGAUAUUCAUUGCAAUUCCGUGGUGCAUAGGGCUGUUAAAUGAAAGAUCAUUCAUAGCACUAAUACAACAAUACUGAAUGCAUGUUUCCACUCUGGAGAGGAUUUCUGAGGAGCCAACGUGUGUUUGAAUGAACACAUGUUGUGGAAAGUUUGGGUUCAAUAUGGUUUGAUGAUGGCUCUGGAGAGAAUCACGCAUUUCUGAAAUUCCAGAGCUUUAGAUCAGUCUGACAAGAGUAACUGUUUGAAAUAAAUCUCUCAAAUAACUUUCCAUGAGAAAAGCCGAAAACCAAAAGGAUUGGAUUUAAAGUUCUUCCUCUGAUGUGCAGCUCAAAGUGACUCAAUGCGAAAGACUUUCUGAAUUAACUUCAGAGGAAAACAGCAAGUAAACAAUAACAGGGAACAAUAUUUAAUCACAUGCGUUUGCUUGUAUGCAUGCCUGCACAUCAGAGGAGCUGCUCCCUCUAUAGUGGUGGAUGAUGCAAACUUCAAAUGCAGAUCACUUUAAUUGACACGGUGCUUCAUCUUCAAACUACUGUUGACAAUCCCCAAUUCGUGAGCGUAAUAAUUACAUAAAUAACACAUAUGAAAGGCGCAUGUGAGUCGGCGGAGGGGCUGAAACCGCUUCAUCAGAGAGAACACAGCUCGCUGUGAUCAGAGUCUCUAACCGACUCGCACCGUUAGAUGGAGACGGGUGAGAUUACGCUAAAGUGGUUUCAUGAUAUAUCUGCAGCUCUACAAUGCAAAAUCAUAUAUAUAUAUUUAUGUGUGGUAAUUAACAGGCAAACAACGUUUUCCAUGUCAGCUUUGCAUAUGAUGAUGUCAUCAACUUUUCUGAGCCACUGAGGAUAUAAAUAAACAAGUCAGGACCUACAAAAAACGAGAUGAACCAGUAAGUUGAACCUGUGAGAGACAGCAGAUUGUUCUGCAACUCGUCUCGAAAACGUGGGAGUGUUUUUGAAAAGGCACGCGUGAGUUGGGCGUGUCCUGUGGUAUUUAUAUUAGCAGAAAACAGCCCUUUGCUCCAACUUUGGAUCGACUCCUGGCAAACUCUCACUGCUCUUAAAUCUCUCUAAGCACACAGACAGGAGCCGAAAAAAAGGCAAGCACAUCAACAUGGUGGCUUUGACGGUGAUGAUUACCAGCCAAUUCCCUGAAUUAUAGGGGUUUGCAACCAAUGAGCUCCAUCUUGUUUAGAGACGGACAUGUUAGAGUUGCGAAGCAGUAAACUAAAGUAGGGAUUUUAUACUUUAGACGAGGGGGGCAGCGGAGGCUGAAAGAGACACGGGACUUGAUGGAUGGCAUGAGGAGGCAACAUGUGGAGUCACUUUUGUGGGAAAAUAAAACAGAACAGUCAUGAAAGAUUAAUCAAUAUUAGAACAUGUGUCAAAGACGUGCUCUAAAACAAUGCAGAUUAUAAUGGUAUUUAAAACCUCAUGUGAGAAUUGUUUUACUUCAAAAUCAGUUUGAUUUCAAUGUUUUGCAGCAAGGAUUGUUUGCAUCCUGCCGCACUGCAACCAUGCAGCCACAAACGCAAUUGUUUUUUCGAGCACGUACGCUCUCAUAAAACCCUGUAAAGUUAAACUAACACAUGGCUAAUAAGGAACCAGAGUUAACUGGGUUCCCCUUAACGUCUUUAAACUGAUAAAGAAAACCUGGUGUGCCUUUUACAUCCUCCAAAAAGCCUAAUGGUAUACUGUAUGUAACUGCAGAGAGAGAAAACCUCCUGCAUGGAUGAGCCUACAAGUCGCCCCCCCCAACAACACCCCUGCUCCAUCGUCCAACAUGUCUGGCGCCCUCUUGUCUUUGUUUUGACAGGAGAAGUCUACCCUGAGUCUGUGGUGUCUUGUCAGGGCGACUGCCCAUGCGGGUCCGCAGUGUUUGACAGCGGUCUUUGCUUUUCUCCUUCUGCCCUGCCUUCCUGUUCUGCUCUGGUGAUUCUGCUCUUGACAAAUGUUCUGGUCACUUAGGCUAAUGUUAAUUUUCUUUUGUGCGUUAGGGUAAAAAGGAGAAGGAGCAAAAUAAAAGAAGAAAAAAGGGUGAGGAUUCACAACGUAUAAACACAGAAGGAGACAUUAGGAGAGUGAAAUAAAGUAUGGUCAAAUGUGUCCUUUAAAGUUGAAUUAAUUUAAGAAAAAUCUGGGAUUUUCCUGAAACCAAAACUGCGUGUGUUGUGUGUUCUUCUGUAUUGGGAAUGGCUUCAUCUUUCUCUGGGCUGGCGUGAUGUAUGUUGGAGUGCAAUGAACAUUGAAAUGUUCAUCCCCUCACUGAGCAACACCUUUUUUCAUUGGUUUGAUUACUCUCCACUGUAUCAUGCUCCCCUUAUACUGUGCGCCUUUAAGGUAUUGAAACUUAACUGAAAAGGUGAGUGCGAAAAGUGGUUGGUGGCAGGUUCCUUUUUCAGAACGGCAGGUUCCAGCGGUCGGUGGCAGGUUCCUUUUUCAGAAUGGCAGGUUCCAGCGGUCGGUGGCAGGUUCCUUUUUCAGAACGGCAGGUUCCAGCGGUCGGUGGCAGGUUCCUUUUUCAGAAUGGCAGGUUCCAGCGGUCGGUGGCAGGUUCCUUUUUCGGAACGGCAGGUUCCAGCGGUCAGUGGCAGGUUCCUUUUUCAGAAUGGCAGGU